CCGGCGGGACUCGGUAGCUUGACUGAUGG
rnacentral:piRNA from 1 species